UACGUAGGGAGCAAGCGUUGUUCGGAUUUACUGGGCGUAAAGGGCGCGUAGGCGGCAAAUUAAGUCAGCUGUGAAAUCUCCGAGCUUAACUCGGAACUGUCAGCUGAUACUGAUCUGCUAGAGUGCGGAAGGGGCAAUCGGAAUUCUUGGUGUAGCGGUGAAAUGCGUAGAUAUCAGGAAGAACACCCGUGGCGAAGGCGGCUCUCUGGGACGGUACUGACGCUGAGACGCGAAAGCGUGGGGAGCGAACAGG
rnacentral:rRNA from 1 species